rnacentral:rRNA from 1 species
AUGAACGCUAGCUACAGGCUUAACACAUGCAAGUCGAGGGGCAGCAUGACCUAGCAAUAGGUUGAUGGCGACCGGCGCACGGGUGAGUAACACGUAUCCAACCUACCGGUUAUUCUGGGAUAGCCUUUCGAAAGAAAGAUUAAUACCGGAUAGUAUAACGAGAAGGCAUCUUUUUGUUAUUAAAGAAUUUCGAUAAUCGAUGGGGAUGCGUUCCAUUAGUUUGUUGGCGGGGUAACGGCCCACCAAGGCAUCGAUGGAUAGGGGUUCUGAGAGGAAGGUCCCCCACAUUGGAACUGAGACACGGUCCAAACUCCUACGGGAGGCAGCAGUGAGGAAUAUUGGUCAAUGGACGAGAGUCUGAACCAGCCAAGUAGCGUGAAGGAUGACUGCCCUAUGGGUUGUAAACUUCUUUUAUAUGGGAAUAAAGUGAGCCACGUGUGGCUUUUUGUAUGUACCAUACGAAUAAGGAUCGGCUAACUCCGUGCCAGCAGCCGCGGUAAUACGGAGGAUCCGAGCGUUAUCCGGAUUUAUUGGGUUUAAAGGGAGCGUAGGCGGACUAUUAAGUCAGCUGUGAAAGUUUGCGGCUCAACCGUAAAAUUGCAGUUGAUACUGGUCGUCUUGAGUGCAGUAGAGGUAGGCGGAAUUCGUGGUGUAGCGGUGAAAUGCUUAGAUAUCACGAAGAACUCCGAUUGCGAAGGCAGCUUACUGGACUGUAACUGACGCUGAUGCUCGAAAGUGUGGGUAUCAAACAGGAUUAGAUACCCUGGUAGUCCACACAGUAAACGAUGAAUACUCGCUGUUUGCGAUAUACAGCAAGCGGCCAAGCGAAAGCAUUAAGUAUUCCACCUGGGGAGUACGCCGGCAACGGUGAAACUCAAAGGAAUUGACGGGGGCCCGCACAAGCGGUGGAUUAUGUGGUUUAAUUCGAAGCAACGCGAAGAACCUUACCAGGUCUUGACAUCCCGAUGCUAUUUCUAGAGAUAGAAAGUUACUUCGGUACAUCGGUGACAGGUGGUGCAUGGUUGUCGUCAGCUCGUGCCGUGAGGUGUCGGCUUAAGUGCCAUAACGAGCGCAACCCUUAUCUUUAGUUACUAACAGGUCAUGCUGAGGACUCUAAAGAGACUGCCGUCGUAAGAUGUGAGGAAGGUGGGGAUGACGUCAAAUCAGCACGGCCCUUACGUCCGGGGCUACACACGUGUUACAAUGGGGGGUACAGAAGGCAGCUACACAGCGAUGUGAUGCUAAUCCCAAAAGCCUCUCUCAGUUCGGAUUGGAGUCUGCAACCCGACUCCAUGAAGCUGGAUUCGCUAGUAAUCGCGCAUCAGCCACGGCGCGGUGAAUACGUUCCCGGGCCUUGUACACACCGCCCGUCAAGCCAUGAAAGCCGGGGGUACCUGAAGUCCGUAACCGCAAGGAGCGGCCUAGGGUAAAACUGGUAAUUGGGGCU